GUGCUCACUUCGGCAGCACAUAUACUAAAAUUGAAACAACACAGAGAAGAGUAAGUAGCCUGGCUCCUUAUGCAAGGAUGACACGCAAAUUCAUGAAGCAUUCCACAUUUCU